GCUGCGCCUUUUCAUUCCCGGAGCGAGGGGGCGUUUCAGUCUCUGCGUUCGUGUUCUUCCCGUGCUUUCUCCACGUUGGCCUUCAGUCGCCGCCGGACGCUACAGCUCUUCGCAGAGUGUCUACUUGUUGAGUCAAAUGUAAUGCAAAACACCUGACUUCGUUAGUGUGACUGUGAAGAAUGAUGACUCUAAUGUCCUGGACUAUACUCAAGAUUUCAGGAGCAAAUGUGAUAGGGUCUUGGUGAUUCCCCUGAUUUCCUUUGAUUUUAGUGACCCUUCUCUGCAUAGGUCCUGCCCCUCUAUCCAGAUGCUGCUGAUAGUAAUACAACAAAAAUCCAUGAACUUCUCUGAUGAAAUCCUCUUCAGACUGCUUGCAGCCCAUUGAUAGACACCUGAAACAUGCAGAGCGUGACCUUCCUCAAGGAACCCGUGGCCGCCUUAGUGCCUUCAAGUUUAAAAGGAACCUUAUCUUGGCAGCAUCUGUCCCUCACGGUCCUGAAAGCCUUGCUUCUAGAUUCCUUGGAGAUUGGCGCUAUCCCUAACCCCCAUUAAUUAAAAAGUAUACAAUCAGUCACUCCUCACAAUCCCAAUAUAGCUCUCUCUGCCCACAGGUCCCGUCCCACGAAUAGGGAAGGCGUGAAGGUCUAGGCAGGAGAGACAGGAGGCCCCUGACUAGGCUCCGGAACUAUUCCUGGCAGGAGACGCUGAGACAGAGAAGAACAAGAGAUAAGGGAACAAACCAAGGUUGCAGAAGAAUCUCAAGGCCACAAGCUUUCCAGUCAGUUCUCAAUAGAAGACUGCCAGUAAAAGCCCAUGGUGACAACCCAUUCAGGACCCCUCUCACUCUGGAGAGUUUUUUUCUUUCCUUUCUGCUCUCACCUUCACUUAAUAAACUUUCACUUGACUUCACCCUUUUGUGUCACAAGAUUCAUUCUUCGACUCCGUGAGACAAGAACCCUGCGAUCCUGCAACAGUACCACUGCUAAUUAAAUUGUGCUUGGUUUAGUUCCUAUAUGCAUAUCUACAAAUAAAUCUGUUUUAAAGAGAUAGACGUUGAUCAUAAUACAUAAGUUUAAUCACAGAAAGAUUCACAGCAUUCACAGUAUAUUGUUGUCUAAAGAAUUCUGAGUUUAGGAUUGUUCCAUUCAACAGAACAUAAAUGUGAAAAUAAACACAAAUACAUAAACAUAAAGUUUUUUAACUGAUCCGUCAGUUUUUCUUCCUGGGGAUACAGAGACCCUAAAUAGCCCUGCCAAUGACAUAACAAACAUACUGGAUAAAAUAUUAAAAAGAUCUGUUAAAAUACAUAACUGAAGAAUUUCCAGAGACUAAAAAAUAAAUAAAAGUAGAGGUCCUAUGAAGGCCUUUGUCCUGAGGGUUUCUGCUAAACCCCAUAAAAGGUAAAGUUCUACUCUGAUGGCUGCAGGAGGUC